rnacentral:lncRNA from 1 species
UUUUCACAACAACUCAUCUACAUUGAAAUGGCUAUUUGGACUCUCAGAAUUUAAGGGGAAUUAAACAACAAUAAACAAAAAUCAAAUGUCCACAUAGGGAAAACCAAACUAAAAUGCAACUAUCAAUUACUCCAAAAGUGCAGAAAUAACAUUUAAAACUACUCUUUACAAAUUUCAGCUUGAUCAAACCAACUUCAAGCUCAUCCUUUCUCAUACAUUAAGAGAUGUGGUGAAUACCUGGAAGUCAAAAGAAAAACAAAAGGGUGCAGAAUCAGCAGAACAACAGCAGAAAAAGAGCCUCAGAAUCAGUCAAUGAGACAGCGAAUUCAACUCAAGAACAAACAAUGGAACAAUAAUGGAGUAAUCAGUGCAAAAACCAACUUCAAACUAAAAAACUCAAGCCAUUGCUCAGCCAGAAGUGCAGCUAGGAAAACUCUUUAUGUAUUUUAGCUAGACAAAAGAAGUUAGGGAUCCAAACAAACUGAAUUUAGAUAGUUCUUCUACAAUGAAAUGUAUGAAUUGCGGAAUUUCCAAACGAAUUUAACCGUUUAGCUUUCAAUAUUUUUUUAGUGUUCUUUUUCUGCCCUCUACAAUGAAUGGAAAGAGAGAUUAUAUAGGCAUGCCUAAGGCAGCCCUAGUACAGCUAGCCAAUUCCCUAUUUAUCCCUCUUUCCUUAGUUAUUUUUUUUUACCCUUUUACCCCUUUUUUAAAAAUAUCUGAAAUUUUCAGCUCUUAUCAUAUUCUUUAGAACCUUCUAUCCUAAUAGAAAUUGAUUCCUUCAUACCCUAAACCCCUAAACUGACCUUAGACCAAUUGGUUAUUACAAUCCCUGCCCCCAUUUUUGAGACCCCUCUAAGUUUCUAUACUUACAAUUAACCCCCUAUGGAUCCCUGAAGACUAACAAACAAAACCACUCAAACAAAAAGCCCUUAACCGGAUCAAAACAAAUUUAAAAAACUCAGAAAUUUUGAACAAUUUAAAAGUUGGAAAACAAACUUGCCAUGAACCAAUUAUAAUGUGAACUUCACAGAAUUAUUUUAGCCAACUGAGACAUGCUCAAGCAUUUUAAUAGAAGAAAUAUCCGCAAAACCAAUUUCGAUUAAACCAACAUGAUUUUAAAUAGCUUUGAACACCUAAUUUAACUGAAACGAAUGUCUGAAAUCUCAAUAACCAAUGAUUAAUAAUACUGAAAUCCGAGGAUAAAAACAAUCAAAAGAAGAGAAAGACAAAAAGGAACUAAACUACACUAGGCAGGGUUUUACAAAGCAAAGGUAAACUUAAACAUGGAAGAGGAAAAGAAAAAGAACACAAAUCUCAGAACCAUAGGGGCACAAAACUAUAUCUGAGAACAGUAUUAAGGGGCAAAUCUCACUAAAUUGAAACCAAUGACCGGGACUAUCUCUAAAUGACUGAAAAUUGAGACUAAUCAGUUGUUCUUGUCAAGAACAACUAAUUAGCCUUUAUUUCCGGCUAAUUCGAAGCUUGAAAAUCACUCGAAAACUUGUUGCAUAUUCGUGACUUGGGGUCAAUAGCAAAGUUUUUGGGAAAUUAACCAUGAAAUCACAAUGAAGGAAGGCCAAAGACUAUGGAACUUGAGUUUUGAGUGAUUUGGGAAAAUUAGGUUUUGGAUCUCAUUUUUCGAUCCAACAUUCGAGCCAAACUAGAGGGAUUCAAGGGACAUGGGUUAGAGAUUUGGAGAGAGAAAGCAAUGGGGGUUCUGGGGUGUAAUUUUGGUGGUGUUUGGAGGUGGCGCUGCCACCCUAAAGCAUUGGAGGAAUGGGGGCGGCUUCUAGGGUUUAUGAUGGGUCUCUGAUUGGGGUGUGUGAGAGAGACGAG